GCGACGCCGGUGCCUUGCACCAGCGGGAGUGGCGGCCGCCCCACUCGGCUGCAGCUCCCGGCGACGCUGGCAUAUUGCACGAGCGGAGGCCUCGUGCACAUACAUUGGCCGGGGCGAGCCCGACACGUAGCUCCAUCGGUGUCCAGUAGCUUCUGGUCCAGCACAAUAUCUAGCGACAACCCCACUGCCCAUCGGCCACUUCCCACUACAUGCCCCUUAUCUACAACACAUCACCAUUCUUCUUGCUCUUCUCCAUCCACCUGACGCUCUCCCUUCUUCUCAAUCCGGCGCGCCCAUGAGCUGGUGGUUGGCUCGACCCAAGCGCCUCGUCCAGCCAUGGAGCUGGCUCUACUACCGUCGCUCGAUUUGGACGCCCGCGCCCAGUCGCCUGCGGCCCGGCCUGCGGCAGCGGUUCUCGUGCCGUGGUGGUGGAGCCUCACUCUCCGGUGGGCGACGGGGGUUGCGGGGCCUGUGAGCAGUGGUGGCAUGGUUGCUUGCCAGAUCUGGCUGCGGUGAUUGAAGACUUCACGCUCGGUUUGGAUGGUUUAUUGGAUUUAUGCGCCAUUCCUCCUCUUUGAUUGCUCGUAUCUCAUCCUCUUUGCUGGCUUGUUGAAUCUUGCAAUUUAAAACGUGUAUAAGUUGCUAGAAUUUGAUGUAUUGUGGCGGUGUGGGACUAUUGAUUCGAAUCUGAAAUUUUAGCACAAGGCUCCGCACAGCCGCGACCCACCUCUGGGCACCGAAGCAUCGACUCCACACAACAACGACGCCGUUCCCGAGCCCCUCGAGCAACCUCCCCUCGCCAGUUGAUGAAAUUUACGAGGAAAGAUGGAAUCUUUGGCGACCAUGGAGGAAAUCCCCGGAAGAAGAAGGCAGCAAAUCCGAGAAGGAGCCAUGAAAUCGGAGGUGAGGAAGCAACGAACCUUGUAGGGCGACCUGCGAACCUUGUAGGAUCUUACUCGACAACAAAAUUGUCGCUACAACACGACGACAAUACAAUUAGUGGAUGUGAAUCUUGGUUAUCUCUACUUGUUUUUGAGCUACUCCUAUAAUACUUCUACGCUCUCACAAGUUCUUACAAAGUUUUUCGGCCAA